rnacentral:tRNA from 1 species
GCCUGGGUGGCUCAGUCGGUUAAGCAUCUGACUUUGGCUCAGAUCAUGAUCUCACAGCUGGUGAGUUCGAGCCUCAUGUCAGGCU